UUUGUUUUGCUGUUGACAUAUCCAUUCAAUUCUUUAGUUUAGACGUAUCUUGGUUUUUUAUUGGCAUAAGCAUUCUUAGUUGUCUUAUUUUCUAUUUUCAAAAAUAAAAUUACAACUUUAAAUAAGAAAUUUAUGGGUAUAUUAACCUGUUGAUUUUUUAUGUUGAACAAAUGAGAGUUUAUAAAAAGUAUAGAAAGUUUCUUAAAGUUAAUUAUAUUGAGAUUAAGUAGAUAAGACGGAUGAAUUGAGUUUUCUUUUUCGUUUGCUAUACCGAGUGCAUCGAGACUGAUCAAAUUCUAACAAACUUUGAUAUUGGUACUAGUAUUACAUUUUAUGGUUUCCAAUCUAAACUUCGUUUUUUUACAUGACUAACUAAAUCAAUACUGUCGGAAGAACUUUGGUAACAGUACCUAUAUUCGUUUUUAUGGUUUUCCAUUAAAAAUUUCGUUAAAAAUGUAGUUCUAUUUCACUACAGAAUAUCUUUGUAUAUCAUAAGCUUUAGCACGUGUCGGUAUUAUGCUGGUACAGUGAUGAACCGAAUUGAUCCAGUCCCAACAAUAACGGUAUCUGGUCAACUUCGACUGAACAUCAUCAGUAUCGGUAUCGAUACUAUUAGAAUCGUUACUAAUAUUCUUUUGUAGUUUUCGAUCGAUAUAAAACACGUGUCGAUAUCCUUUUGAACAUAUCACAUUUUAAUUUUUGGCUUUGUCUUUCAUUUGUGACACCGAGUGGCCCGAUACCGUACUAAUACAAUCAUGAACUAAACCGAUGCUGACCAAAUUCCCGCCGCAACGCGCGGGGGAAUUCAACUAGUUAAGUAUAAGCAAAAAUACAAUAUACAGUGGAAGUGUUUAUUAAUUUAAUAUUUAAUAUUAUUAUCUCAUGAUUGCCAACUCACCUUGAUAAAUUGGCUAUAUGUGACACGCUGGCUAUUUGGGUAUCUAUAAUAGACAGCAAAUCCUGGCAUGUUUCCACAUUCACGUUCAUAUAUAGAUUCGUCACUCUGCACAAAAUAGUCAAACCAUAAAGGCAGUUAAGUAGGUAUUUUUGUAAGUGUAGAAAGUUGCAACUCGGCCCAUUCACCUACAAAUGGAUCAAUUUAAGUUUUAUUUUAUAGGUCAAAUGAGUUGAGCUAACGAUAUAGCUAAAAACGAAACUGAUCAAAUGAGUUAAAUAUCAUCAGAAGUGUACCGAAUCUAUAUAUGAACUGUAUUUUGCACUUGAUUAUAAACUAAAUAUUUUAAUUACCUUCCAAUAAUAGGCAGUCUUGAGAGUCUCAAAGAGAAAUCUACCAAGGCGGCCCACCUCGUACUCCGUGCAACAGCAUAUCAUUGGUUGUAAUGUUUUACAUAUAAGAACAUCAAUAUGGUUGACCGUGUUGAAAAAAGGGGUGCCAAGUGAAUGAAGGGUAUGAACAAACAUAGCACAAUAAACAGCAUCAGGCAUGCUGAAUGUACAUCUAGGAAAUAUGCACCGUUGAAGGAACUCCAUGUUAAUCUUCAAUGUAUCAGGGCAUGAACUCAACCAAUUAUCUUUCUCACGGGCCAAACGUCUACGCACAGACGCAACGUUUUCUUCAUGUUUCUGGAGUUCACUAGUUAACUUAUCUAGAGAUUCUUGGAUCUUUUCUUUAUCUUUCUUUCGUUUGGUGAUUGCUGAAUUGGAAUUAUCAGAAAGUUCUUCUAAUGCUUUAAGAGCAGCAUGCUGUUUGGCUAUCUCAGACUCGUAACGAUUUCUCGGUACAUAAAGAUCAUAAAGUGUUAGCCCCCAAAACGUAGCGUACAGAUCAGGCGAGAGACUGUUCCAAGCUUUUGCCGGUAACACUGUUCUAACUGUCUCCAGAAGAUCUGACCACCUGUCAGAAAAAGUCAAAUUAGACCCAUAUAUAAAAAAAAAAAAAAAAAGUUAAAUGCUAUUUUCGUCCCUGAGGUUUGGCCAGUUUUGCAACUAUCGUCCAAAGGUUUGUUUUUCCAUUGAUGGGUACUUUUUACACCUGCAAAUAAGCACUUUGUAGUUAUUCUUGGCUAAAUAGUAUCAGUUAAAGUGAGACGAAAAAAAGGUGAAACCUCAAUGCACGCCGUCACAUAUCACUACAGUC
rnacentral:lncRNA from 1 species